UACAGAGGUCUCAAGCGUUGCUCGGAAUCACUGGGCGUAAAGCGCACGUAGGCGGCUUGUUAAGUCAGGGGUGAAAUCCUGGAGCUCAACUCCAGAACUGCCUUUGAUACUGGCGAGCUUGAGUCCGGGAGAGGUGAGUGGAACUGCGAGUGUAGAGGUGAAAUUCGUAGAUAUUCGCAAGAACACCAGUGGCGAAGGCGGCUCACUGGCCCGGUACUGACGCUGAGGUGCGAAAGCGUGGGGAGCAAACAGG
rnacentral:rRNA from 1 species